rnacentral:rRNA from 1 species
GAGUUUGAUCGUGGCUCAGAUUGAACGCUGGCGGCAGGCCUAACACAUGCAAGUCGAGCGGAUGAAGGGAGCUUGCUCCUGGAUUCAGCGGUGGACGGGUGAGUAAUGCCUAGGAAUCUGCCUGGUAGUGGGGGAUAACGUCCGGAAACGGGCGCUAAUACCGCAUACGUCCUGAGGGAGAAAGUGGGGGAUCUUCGGACCUCACGCUAUCAGAUGAGCCCAGGUCGGAUUAGCUAGUUGGUGGGGUAAAGGCCUACCAAGGCGACGAUCCGUAACUGGUCUGAGAGGAUGAUCAGUCACACUGGAACUGAGACACGGUCCAGACUCCUACGGGAGGCAGCAGUGGGGAAUAUUGGACAAUGGGCGAAAGCCUGAUCCAGCCAUGCCGCGUGUGUGAAGAAGGUCUUCGGAUUGUAAAGCACUUUAAGUUGGGAGGAAGGGCAGUAAGUUAAUACCUUGCUGUUUUGACGUUACCAACAGAAUAAGCACCGGCUAACUUCGUGGCAGCAGCCGCA